rnacentral:rRNA from 1 species
CAGUCGCCACGGUAAUACGGAGGGUGCAAGCGUUAAUCGGAAUUACUGGACGUAAAGCGCACGCAGGCGGUCUGACAAGUCAGAUGUGAAAUCCCCGGGCUUAACCUGGGAACUGCAUUUGAAACUGUCAGGCUGGAGUCUUGUAGAGGGGGGUGGAAUUCCAGGUGUAGCGGUGAAAUGCGUAGAGAUCUGGAGGAAUACCGGUGGCGAAGGCGGCCCCCUGGACAAAGACUGACGCUCAGGUGCGAAAGCGUGGGGAGCAAACAGGAUUAGAUACCCCGGUAGUCCCUGUCUCUUAUAA